GCUUGUAGCCGAGGAACGUCCUCUGCUCGCAGAACCUCCUCGUGGCCUUUUAGGCCCUCUCAUAAAUCAUACUUCACCGUCAUGGCUCGACCUCCCCGGAUUCCCGAGCAAUGGAGGAUCAGCCGGAAUGACAACCCCUAGUCAGCUGACGUCGGCAGGCGCCAGUCAUCCUAGUCCUUGAGUCUCAGGACUCUCCUAGUCAACCUUCUUCUAGUCAAACCUCCAUUAGUCAGGAGUUGAGUCUUCGGACGGCGGGAUUAACCGCUUCCCGCCUGUCCACAGCCCUUUUGGGUGCAGCUUCAAGCCUUCUUCUAGUCGCCCUCGAGGCAGCCGUGCUGAGGAAAUGGAAUCGCAAGUGUUAGGCGAGUCGAGUGUUAGCUGUGCGUCUCGUGAGUUCGGAAUGAGUAUGCCCCCUUCUUCGAGAACGUCAGCCGUCACCCAGACCGCUGCGCAUCUGUGCAGGUCUCCAGGACACCUCUUCGUAGUCAGUGCAACAUGUUAGUCGUCUGCUGCCCCUCCAAAAUCACUUAGUCGUCGGAGGGGCUAGUGCUUAGUCGCAGUUAUCCAGUGAAGAACGACCCAAGAACGUAGUCAAAGAACUCCCCGAUCAACCCGUUCCAGCAGCUACUGUCAAGUCGCUGGGCAAGUCAGUGAUCUCCGGGAGAUAGUCAGCCCUAGUCUACCGAUCUACCAGUCUACAUGUAGUUUAAGAGGACGAGUCUACCCACCGCAGAUGGACCGCCAGUUCGUCUCCAAAGAUCUCAUCAGUACUAUCUACCCGUAGUAGUACUUUGGUAUAUUAACUGCUGGGUAUUCCAGUCUCCAGUAUUAGUUUACUGUUCAGUAUUCAAACUAGCAUUAGGUAUUACUACCAAAGAUUAUAUUUUAGAUUAUUUAAGAGCCAGUUACCAAAAAUAGUCCAUAAGAGCUAGUAUCCAAAGUUUUGUUAACCAAAGAUGAGUUACUAGUACUAGUCAGCUAGUUCUCUUUCACUAGUCACUAUAGUUAUUAUAAUGUUCACCACACCAAAGAUCACUGUAGGUUAGUAAAUAGCACAAAAACUAAAAAAAAAAAAAAAUGCAGCAUUCACCAAAGAUCUCAAUCAACAUAACUUGCAAAUUGCAUUGCAUCGGCUCACCAAAGAUUUAGCAAUAGUUUACUGUUAUUCUUACCUUGAAAAAUUAACAGCUUCUCACCAAAGAUCUCAACCAACAUAACAUUUUUAAAAAAAGACAAAAAAAAUAAAAAAUCAGCUAUUAACCAAAUAAUUUAUAACUAGUCACUAUUAUUAAUUCGUAUCCAAAGAUCUCAUUAGGUUUAAGCUUAAACAAAGAUCUCAGUCAUAGGUAACCUAGUCAUUUACCUUAAUCUAUGUAAAACAUCUUUGUUCAGCUUUGAACAAUUAUGUUCACCUAGUCCUUGGCCUAGUCAUAUAGCCUUUGUAAAUAUUUCUUUUAUGAAAUGUUUACUAUAGUCAAGAUCUCUAGUCACGAAUAUUAUUUUUAAGUCUAUGUUUCCCUAGUCAUUCAGUAUUUGUAAGACAUCAAUGCUGCUUAGUCACAAGCAUUAUGUCCCCUAUAGUUAAUGCUCUAGUCAUCCAGUAUUAUAGUGUUAAGGUUUGGCAAGCAGAAGUCUAGUCAUUUUGCGUUGCCGCCCCCUAGUCUGAAUCUAGUUGUUUUUCUAGUCAUAUAUAUGCAUAAAUUGUCUAGUCACAA